AUACUGCGCCAGGGGUCAGGCUGCAGCACCAGAGCAUGUGCUUAUGCAUAACUGGGGCUGGUUUCUCCCCACAGCAGCUCUUUUCAAUGCAAGAGACACGG